UCUGUAUAUGGGUUACUUUAACUUUUUCUCAAACGAGGCAUUUCUCUAACACGCACAUGUGUCUGUUCCUCACCCUUCUCAUAUCUUUCUCUGGUUGUGUGUGGUUUUAUUUGUUUCAGUGAUUUACCAGGAACAUCUUUUCCUUUUCUCCAUGUCUUCCGCCAGAGGUUAACACUGGUGAGAUUCAGGGACACAGCACCCAGAGCAGGCUGGUGUGUGGAGUUGAUGACUGUCUCAACACAUGUUAAUUGUUCUCCCAAUGUGCUAAGCAUAACACCGGGACCCCAACCAUCAUCAUUAGUUUCUCGAUCUAAUUCUCCAUCCAUUUUACUGUCAAUGGAGGAGUGUUCUUUUAUUGCUUUUAAAGGAGAAUUUG
ensembl:lncRNA